rnacentral:rRNA from 1 species
ACAGGUGCUGCAUGGCUGUCGUCAGCUCGUGUCGUGAGAUGUUCGGUUAAGUCCGCUAACGAGCGCAACCCUCGCUUGUGUGUUAUAUGUGUCACACGGGACUGCCGGUCUUAAAGCCGGAGGAAGGUGGGGAUGAUGUCAAGUCAGCAUGGCCUUUAUAUCCUGGGCUACACACACGCUACAAUGGCCAACACAAUAGGUUGCUAAGCCGCGAGGUGGCGCCAAUCCAUAAAGUUGGUCUCAGUUCAGAUUGUAGGCUGCAACCCGCCUGCAUGAAGAUGGAGUUGCUAGUAACCGCAGGUCAGCUAUACUGCGGUGAAUACGUUCCCGGGGCUU